rnacentral:rRNA from 1 species
AGUGAACGCUGGCGGUAGGCCUAACACAUGCAAGUCGAACGGCAGCACAGUAAGAGCUUGCUCUUACGGGUGGCGAGUGGCGGACGGGUGAGGAAUACAUCGGAAUCUACUUUUUCGUGGGGGAUAACGUAGGGAAACUUACGCUAAUACCGCAUACGACCUACGGGUGAAAGCAGGGGAUCUUCGGACCUUGCGCGAUUGAAUGAGCCGAUGUCGGAUUAGCUAGUUGGCGGGGUAAAGGCCCACCAAGGCGACGAUCCGUAGCUGGUCUGAGAGGAUGAUCAGCCACACUGGAACUGAGACACGGUCCAGACUCCUACGGGAGGCAGCAGUGGGGAAUAUUGGACAAUGGGCGCAAGCCUGAUCCAGCCAUACCGCGUGGGUGAAGAAGGCCUUCGGGUUGUAAAGCCCUUUUGUUGGGAAAGAAAAGCAGCAGGUUAAUACCCCGCUGUCCUGACGGUACCCGAAGAAUAAGCACCGGCUAACUUCGUG